rnacentral:rRNA from 1 species
GAUGAACGCUGGCGGCGUGCUUAACACAUGCAAGUCGAACGGAAAGGCCCAAGCUUGCUUGGGUACUCGAGUGGCGAACGGGUGAGUAACACGUGGGUGAUCUGCCCUGCACUUCGGGAUAAGCCUGGGAAACUGGGUCUAAUACCGGAUAGGACCACUUCUUGGAUGUUGUGGUGGAAAGUUUUUUCGGUGUGGGAUGAGCUCGCGGCCUAUCAGCUUGUUGGUGGGGUAAUGGCCUACCAAGGCGUCGACGGGUAGCCGGCCUGAGAGGGUGUACGGCCACAGUGGGACUGAGAUACGGCCCAGACUCCUACGGGAGGCAGCAGUGGGGAAUAUUGCACAAUGGGCGCAAGCCUGAUGCAGCGACGCCGCGUGGGGGAUGACGGCCUUCGGGUUGUAAACUCCUUUCGCUAGGGACGAAGCGUUUUUGUGACGGUACCUGGAGAAGAAGCACCGGCUAACUACGUG